GCAUUGGUGGUUCAGUGGUAGAAUUCUAGCUUGCCAUGUUGGAGGCCUGGGUUCCAUUCUCAGCCAAUGCA
rnacentral:tRNA from 1 species